UGGUGAGUGAUUUGUCUGGUUAAUUCCGUUAACGAACGAGACCUCAGCCUACUAACUAGAUGCAGCAAUCUUUGGAUUGUUGUACGCUUCUUAGAGGGACUAUCGGUGAUUAGCCGAUGGAAGUUUGAGGCAAUAACA
rnacentral:rRNA from 1 species